GCCGAGAUGGCGGAACCCGGUAACGCGCUAUCCUGGAAAGGUAGUCCCGCAAGGGGUUGCAGGUUCAAAUCCUGCUCUCGGCG
rnacentral:tRNA from 1 species